CGAGGCGGUCGGAUGGUCGCGCGUCGCCGGCGGGGCGACCCGAUCGGCGACGUGAGGAAAGUCCGAGCUCCGCAGCGCAGGGUGGCGGGUAACGCCCGUCCGUCGCAAGACGAGGACCAGUGCCACAGUGACGAUGCCGACGUCCGGCCUCCGGGCGGGUCGUCGGAGUGAAACGCGGCAAACUCCACCCGGAGCAAGGCCAAAUAGGAGGGCGCAACCCGUAUCGGGUGACCGGUACGGGGGAGAGGUGCGCUGCCCAGCCCUCGGGUCGGCCGCAUGAGCCGUCGGGCGACCGACGGCCACAGAUGGAUGGCCAUCCCCGCCGCACAUCUCGGUGUGUGACGGGACAGAACUCGGCUUACAGACCGCCUCGCUGA
rnacentral:RNase_P_RNA from 1 species